AAUUGUGUGUGUUUUGGUUAGUAAAUAAUUUUGUGAAGUGUUUUCGUUCGUUAUACCAUAGUGCAGUAAAAUUUAUCUAAAUUCGCGGUCGCGUAAAAAGUGUUUAUUUUUCAUAUUUUUAAUAAAUUAUUAAAUAUGUUUAUAGUGUUGCUCUAAGGCAAAUUUCGAAAAUGAGAGUAAAAAAUACCGGAUUUUCGGGUAUAAGGUUUGACAACUCAAUUGCCCUGCUAAAUUGAACCACCUUUGCGCAUGCGCAGUGCGGCUAUUAUUACACUUCGCCAACUAUUGUUUUGUACAAUACAAGUAAAAAAAGUAACAACAGCAAAAAAUUGACUCUGUAAAUUCACAAUCCUCCACAAAUAUGGCAUUACAAUAUUCG